CGCACGGGUGAGUAACACGUAUGCAACCUGCCUGCCACAGCCGGAUAAUCGGGAGAAAUUCCGUCUAAUACGGCAUAAUGCAUCGACGGGACAUCCUGUUGGUGCCAAAGGUUAAUUCCGGUGGCGGAUGGGCAUGCGUCGCAUUAGUUAGUUGGCGGUGUAACGGACCACCAAGACGACGAUGCGUAGGGGUUCUGAGAGGAAGGUCCCCCACACUGGUACUGAGACACGGUCCAGGCUCCUACGGGAGGCAGCAG
rnacentral:rRNA from 1 species